GAGCAAUCCGCUUUAAGAUGAGCCCGCGCAGGAUUAGCUAGUUGGUGAGGUAAUGGCUCACCAAGGCUUUGAUCUUUAGCUGGUCUGAGAGGAUGAUCAGCCACACUGGAACUGAGACACGGUCCAGACUCCUACGGGAGGCAGCAGUAGGGAAUAUUGCGCAAUGGGGGAAACCCUGACGCAGCGACGCCGCGUGAGUGAUGAAGGACUUCGGUUCGUAAAGCUCUGUCGCAGGGGAAUAAAAACG
rnacentral:rRNA from 1 species